rnacentral:misc_RNA from 1 species
AUGGCGGUUAAUAUAAUUUUCGAUAUCAGCUGAAAUAAAUGCAAUUUUAGGCCCUUAAAGUAGCUUAAGUCAAGUGAUCUUUCUUGAGUAGCUGCAAAAAUAUCUGUACUUGGUUCUUACGAAGUUUGAAUGGCCUGCGCUGAAGAAUUCUACACGUAUCCAAGGUCGAAGAAAGUUAUGGAAGAUGAUGUGUUAACAAUAGAGGACAUUACAAAUCAUGUGACCCGCCGUGGUGCAUAUAAUGGGGUCAGGAUAAGGGAAUUUGAUGAUGGGAAUGUUAAUCCAGAACCUGUAAAAAGAGAUGAGGAUGAAGAUUCUGAUAAUUUGUGGGAAGAAUUUCUUUCGCCUAAUAAACUGAAAUCACUAACAGGGGUGAACAANCUCAAUGAUGUUACAUUUCUGGAAAUGCAAGUCAACACUAGUGAUAACAGUCUGGGAAAUUUUGGGGGUUUACUUCCAAAUUUAACUCAGCUAAAGCUGUCAAAUAGCAUGAUUUCAACUGUAAGGGACUUGGGAACUUCCCUUUCAAAUCUCAAGACACUGUGGAUGUGUCGAUGUGGACUUUCGGAUUUGGAUGGNAUCAGUUCAAUUUCAUGUCUUGUUGAACUCUAUGUAGCAUUUAAUGACAUUAGUGAUGUAAGUCCAGUUAGUAUGCUCGAUAGCCUAGAGGUUCUUGACUUAGAAGGGAACUUGAUUGACGACCUGUCACAAGUUGAAUUCUUGACACUGUGUUCAUCACUCAAAAGUCUUAACCUGGAGGGCAAUCCUGUGUGUGUGGCACCACACCCAUCUUCUACUGCUGAGCAAAUGGCAGGAUAUGAGUAUCGUAAGGCAAUUCACCAGGCCAUACCAGGUAUUAAAGUACUGGACGAUGAGCCAUUGCUGAUAGAGAAGGUCGGAGGUAAACCAGUCCUGCGUGACAUGCCAGAGUCAGCUAAGACUGCUAAAGUACCAGAUCACUUGAAAGAAGAAUGGCAACUGAUAAAUGAUGGACUGAAAGCUAUGGAUACUGAACAGGAAAACAAUGAACAGUCCAACUCCAGGCCAUCAUCUGGUACAAGACCCAAAACUGCUNCAGCAAGGCAAAGACCAGCAUCAGCAGCAAGACAACGACCAACUUCUGCCAGGCAAAGGCCAGGAAGUGCAUUUGGACANCGUCCAGGAUCUUCUCUUGGUUCUUCUGGUAGCCAAUCAGAGUUGACUGGCAUAUUUCAGAUGGGAGAUGAUAGCAGUGAUUUAACUCAUGGGUCUGGUGANGUGAUAUGUGGUAACAUAUCAAAGGCUCUUAAAUCAAGAAGAAAGAAUAUUGAUAAGACAGUUACCUCUCCAUUCUCCAAUGAANCACGAAUACAUGUUCCUGAGAAAAGCUACGAGGAAGAACAUGAAAACACUCCAUCAAAAAAAGAUAUAUUUGAUGAACUGAAAGAGUGGAGGCAAGAAUUUUCAGAGUUAAUCAACGACAAUCACAGACUACCUUCAACAAGUUUUGAUUCUGAAUCAAGUCAGUCAGAAAGUGAAUCCCCCUUCUCAUCACCAAGAAGAACNAAAGCUUUUGAAACAAGUCCCUCUCCACCAACUUCAAACCCAAGACCCUCACUUUCCCCCACCCCUCCCCNUCCAAGUAACUCCAAGAGGCCCUCUCCAAUGGGAAGAUCUUUGCCUAGUGCACCUUUGGUUGGACGUGAUCUUAACAGACCACAUACAUCAGGGGAAUUUCGCCUUAGAAGGUAUAGACAAGCAUCUACAGAACAGGCUGUUGAUACUNUUAGAAGUUCUGUUAAAGACAACGUCACUCUAGACAGUAAUCACAACCAAUCGACNUCANCACUAGAUUCCAGGCUACCACAUGGUAGCUCUCCAACAGACACUGAACCCAGGUCAUCAUCUGCACCUGUAAAAGCAUUGAGACGAUAUAGAGUGUUACCAAAUACACCUGGAUCUCCUCCUGAAUCCAAAACCGAUAAAAAUCCUCAGCCUUCCACCCAAUCACCUGUCAGUCCAUUGUCACAUGGUAUACGGCCUGGCACUGCCGCCGCAGCACUUCAGAAGCGAAGACUCAGGUCUGACCAAAAAAUGUAGCUCUUUGUCAAAGAGAGAGAAGCCCUGUGGAUUCAUCAGGAUUCCUGUGAUGCGCGAAAAGAGUGAAGUCUGAGAAUGAACUGAAAAUCUUUGCCAUCUAGUCGUUUGCCUUAUAGAAAGGAAAAGAAAAAUUAAAAAGUUUCUUUUUCUCGGCAAGACGUGAAGAAAAUCUCAUUGUAAAUACGUGUAGCAUUAGAGUAAUUUUAUUUAAGUGAAAAUGAUGAAAAGGUUUAAGACAUGUAGUAAUAGUAAAGGUGUAACUGGAUUGAAUUUUUUUUUGAAAGUACUGAAACAAUAUACCUGCUAUACAUUUCAAANAUUCUCUACAAAUAGACUUGUGUAUAUUGAACUUUCCUUUACAAAGUAGUGUAUUAAAGUUUUAAAAGAAAUAAAGUGCGUUUGAGAGG